rnacentral:lncRNA from 1 species
CGAAUGUCGAAUAGAAAUGUGACGACGUUCAUUCGUCUACAACAGCAACACGUGCUAAAUGACUACGCUAAACUUGCCACAGCUUUGAAAUUAGAAUUCAGUGGUUCUGCGACUCGCAAACACGAUAGCUCACUGGCUAACACAGUCAAACAAGCUCGGAACAAACACCCACAAGCUUACUAUCAUAGGCUUCGUUCAGCUUACUUUGGUCUACUCACUGAAACAGGAAUGGAAGAGCUGUUAUCAUUCAAACAAAUGUUUCUGUCGAACAUGUAUCCCACCUUCAUUACCUACUUGGGCCCUGCAGCCCACGUUGGCUUGCCUAUCUCUGAAGUUUGACCAGGAGCACUCACUCCAGUUAGAGGGUGCAUUAUCAGGUAUUGGAGAGUUGAGAGCGACGCACAACAACGGUUUCUACCACGAAACCACGAGUCCAAUAACCACCGCGGUUGAAAUAACUGUAAAGUACGUCGCCAUCAAAACGACUACCGCUACAAUCGACCUGUUCGCUACGUUCCUGCACCCAACCCACACAAAGUGUCAGAGCACAAGGGUAACAAAGGGUUGAAGGACGAUCAAAACGUAGACCAAUGUUCUCCAGAAGUUCCACUACGUGAAGAACUAAAGCGAGAAACAUUUCAGGAAAGGGUAAAGGACAAGACGGGGAAUUACCGGACACCAGGUUGCGAAGAAAAAGGUUAAACGCUUCGUUAAAGCUAAGCCCACUCAAAAUCUGAAAAGUCGAUCUGCUUCCACCUUGAACAGAAAUGACACAUCACGUCAUUGCGAACGACCACUCCACUUUGUGGGGAAUAUGUCCACUAAUCAUGAAUCGAAACACCCAUACCUGGAAACAGUCCUGGAGGACUGCUUAACUUGUCAUGCGCUAAUUGAUUCGGGUGCGACAAUAUCACUCAUCUCUCAAACAUUGUUCAAUGAUCUCAAAAGGGCUUUGAAGCCAACUAAACUUUGGUUAAAAGUGGAACGAUGCGACACUAAACUUCGAGGGGUCACUCAGACUACCUCGCCUCUCACAUUGAGAGUCAUGCUGAAACUACACUUCCAGGACGUAUCGCUCAUUCAACCUGUGUAUGUUACCAGCCUUGAAACUGUAACCCUGCUACUUGGAGCAGACUUGACCAACCAGGUAUGGUCACAGGCCACAGUGCCUUCUCCACUGACCACACUGUCUU